rnacentral:lncRNA from 1 species
GGGAGCCCGGGCAACAUCACGGUAGCUCUGUGGAGCCCUCCCAGUUCCCUGGUUGGGUCCGUACAUGCAGGCCCAGGCCUCUGCCACCUCACAGGAAUCAGUGAUGAGCUGAAGUAGAUACCAGCAAGCUGUGUGCCCCCAAAGCUGGCAUGUUAGGACCAUGGAGAGGAGCAGCAUGCCCCCAGGCAGCCACUCAGAGGGGCUUUGUAACAGAAGCACACAGGACCAUUGCAGACAAUUCAAGUGCUCUAAUAUAUCUCAUCAUCACGUCGUGCCACCCUGUCUACCUGCAAUUGUGUUUCUUCAGAGCAUCAAAUAAGGAGUCAGGGGCACAGUGAGACCCCCACACAGAAGGUUGAGGCCACGCCACUGACCAGCUGCAGGCCACACGGCAGAGGAGACUGGCCGUAGUCCUGGUCGCCCGAGUGCCAUCGAUUGGGGCUGCCACCACCAGCCCAGUGCUGCACCAGCACUGGCCACCAUUCCUGGUUCCCCACAGCAAGCCUAUAUGACAGGCGAUGGUGUCUCCAUUUUACAGACAAGGAAGCGGACGCCAGGGAGGGCAAGGGCUUGGUUCAAGGGUAGGCAAACAGUGCUGGUGACAACAGCAAGUAGGAACGCAGGCCCUGGUGAAGCCCUUCCUGUGAACCAGAUGCAGAUUGACAGAGCAGUGCCCGAGAUCCCCAUGUAUCCUAGAACCACACGGUUUUCUGUGUGCCCGGAAGCCACACGCCCGAGGACCUGCGGACAGGUGCAAAGAGGAUGACCUCGGGAACGGCGAUUCUUGAGGUGCCCUUUGGACCCCGAAUGACAGUGUUUGCUGCUCGUCCUCAGGCCAGAGCACUUUAAAUAAAAACAACACUCACAUUCUUGUGUUUGUAUAAAAGAUAUUUACUUCAAUUAUCACACCUACGGUGCUAGUGAAUAAUAAUACAUGGUGUGAGUCUCAUACAGUGAUAUUGCUUCUCCGUAUUAUAUAGGGACCGUUGUACAGUGCUGAGAACAAACAUCGUAUGGCUAACCAAAGACAGAGGGACAACACCAAGGGGCCGACGGGUGCCUCCCCCACCCCUACGCCAGCCAGGUCAACUUUGACUCUUAAUGUAGAAAAACAAAUAGCAAGAAAAUGUUACCAGAGAGAUGUCACACAGCAACACACCAG